rnacentral:lncRNA from 1 species
GUGAUAUACGAACAGAACAGACGUAUGAAUGAUAUGGUUUUCUCAAACAAAAAAUCAAGUUCGUUCUUGAAAACCUCUUGGUCUUAUCCGGUUGAACUUUUGUGUGUACCCACAAAUAGUUUGAUCUGAAAGUGUAUCACGAUUCCAAGAGGAAUCCAUGUUUAAUUUUGGUGUUCUUCAUCUCUACAAUCACAUCCACGAUUUCGAUCAAUUGCAAGUAACCGGUACGUUCUAUCUAGAAUCCAACAAAGAUCAAACUAUUUUCGUUGGGGAUUGAUUAUUUACUCCAGUUUGUUGUUACUGUGGUCGCUAUGGAAAGAAAUUGGGUCAUUGUUGUGUUUGAAAUUGGUGAUAAUUCGACCAGUUUUGUUCGUAAGUUCGAAUAAGGAAAAGAAACCUUCGCCUGCCUUACUUGGGGUUAACGGUUCUGUUUAAUUUCGAAAUCGUGGGAGUUUGAAUUCACGCAAUGUUCACGGUUUAAUUUGUGAUGGAUUUGCGGUUUGAUUUUAGAGAAGAAAGUGUUCUCGAGAUGGGGAAUUAAAAAGUAGAGUGGAAAAGUCCACAAAUUUAUUUGUGACUUUGAAAAGUGAUUUUAAUCAGAUUCUUAUGACAUUGAAAUCUGAUUUUAAUCAGAUUUGAUUUCCGAAUUAAGUUGUUCAAAAGCCUAUCCACUUUACCACGACCACUUUAUUAUUUAAAUGAAACUUGGGCUGAAAAUGUUUUUCCUGGAAAUUUUAUUUUGACUCAAGAUCAAUACAUGGAAUAUAUUAAGCUGCUUGUUUAUUUUAUUAGAAUUAAAGUGGGCUGAUGGUUGUUGGUAAUUCCUAAGAAAAGUAUUGGAGUAUACUUGAGAUGGGCUAAUAAAUUCCAAUGUGAAUCAUAUUAAUUAAUUAAAUUGAAUUCAUGGAUCGGUUAUAUCUACAAAACUGAAUUCGGGACCAAUUAUCUACCAUAUAACCUUGUGUUAUCUACUAUACGGUUGAUAAGAUCAAAGGAAGGAACACGGUCGGUGUUCGUGUGUGAUCUUGGACAGAGCCACAGAGGAAUGAAACGAUCGGUCAUCUCAUUGGUUUAAUUGGUACGUUUAUACCGGGACAAAUAAGAAAGAAACCUUUGUUUCUUUGGGUUGUUGUCUCUGUGGUACAAGACCAGAAAGAACAAAGCUUUGUUUGGCUUGUGUGAAGAUUCGGACAGAAAAAUAAAAAUUGUUUGAUAGAAAAGGAAGAAACAGUUAGUUGUUUCUUUGGUAAUACUAUGCAUAGACAAGAAGAAAGAAGGAAAAUAAUUCAUUUGGAUGCUACAGCUCGAAUCCAAAAGGAAAGAAUUUGUGAUUCUCAACGUCAUAUCCGGCCAAUUUCCAGAUCUGUAGAAUAAAAACUAUGCCAAAGAAAUCAAGGGAACGCCAUCACAUUUGGAAAAAAAAAGUCCCUCAACUUCCACCUUGAAUCGCUAAAUCUUCCGGACCAAAGUGAAAAUAAAAAAUUCAAGCUCAGAAACCACACAUGAUACUCAAAGAAUAUCUAUAGUAGGUUGGUUUGUUUAAAACUCGUUUGCCCCGAACUAGACUUUUCGGCAGAUCAUUAAAGUCAAAAGGUGGGCUGGCCUUGUGGUGUAGAGAUUGUAAUUGGGUCUGGUCCAUCCGUUUAUCCAACAGCCAACAAAAACAAGCAAUAAAACUUCCAAAGCUCAUCGCUGGCAUUUGUGGUAAUACUUUGAAUUCAUUAAGGGCUUUUUGGGUAUUUCACAUUUUUUUCUUACCACACCGUCCACACGUAUGUUGCUUUCUUUCAUAGCACACCACCACUGAUUUACAUAAGCCCAUGAUCCGUUUGAUUAUUUUUUCUUGUUCUUGUAUAACCUCGUAAUCAGCCCUUAUACGGAUUAAGAUAUAGACAAGUGGGCCUGCUCCAUUUAUACAAUAAUGAUCCAAUAACUCUUGCAAAUUCAUGAUCCUUUUGUUUUCUGUAAUACAAACGUACAUGUAUGAUGAGUUUCACAGUAAUAGCAUAUAAGUUUCAAUU